AGGUUUAGCUCCACAAUUAAUAAUAAAGAGGGCUACUAUUAGAGUUUAUGUGUGUUUCGUGGGAUGUGUGAAGCGUGUGUUUUAGAAUUUUUGGGGUAAACCACCAAGCACAAAAAGUAACUAUUAAAUGCCAAAUUUAAAUAAGCAAACUAAAUUUUCAGGGAAGGACAAACCUGGCCCGGUAGAGGACGACGAACAAAGUGCGGCAAACGGCUCGUCAACGGGCACGAAGCACAGGAGGGGAGGGAGCUGCGUAGGCCUGCUGGGCCGUGGGCUAAAGGGAGAAGGAAGAGGCAGGCUGCAGUGGGCUCUGCAGUGGCGUUGCAAGCCUGUCAGUUUAGGCCCGUGAAGAAGAAGUCAAGGCGGGCUGAAGUGGC
rnacentral:lncRNA from 1 species